CAGAGCUGGCAGUAAAAGGGUACCACUGAUGGCCUUGGUACCUGGAAGCUUGGUGUCCUGCUGUUGAUGAAACUCAGGCCCACCUGCAACCCUUGGUGACCAAGUCUCAUGGCAGGAAUAUCUUCAGCUCUUUGUCUGUUGCUUCUGCACACAAAAUGUCAGCUCGUUACCGAUCCAGUCACCUCAGAAAAAGUGGCACAUUGUUCAAGGUUAAGAAAGAUGACUUAGAAAUGGCUGCAUGUGAUAACAGACCUACAGCUGGGCAAGUGGAGAUGACUGAGCAAGGUAAUUGCAGAUACAGAACGGAAUAGGCCCUACCGGCCCUUUGAGCUGUACCACCCAUUGAUUUAACCCAAGCCUAAUCGCAGGAAAAUUUACAAAAACCAAUAAACCUACUUAACUGAUACAUCUUUGGUCUGCGGGAGGAAACCGGAGCACCCGGAGGAAACCCACGCGCACACGGGAAGGAACGUACAAACUUACAGAGGAUGCCGGAAUUGAACUCUGAACUCAGCCAUGAGCUGUAAUAGUGUGGCAUGGUUUUUGUUUCACCCACCCAUUGACUUAUGAUACUUUCUGUGCUGGUGUAUUCCCAGUCAAUGUUUUACUGUAGGUAGCUUGAUGCUUGGGCUUUAAUUGCAAUAAUUACUUUUCAGUAAGGUGGGUAGGGAGAAAACUGGGAGCUUUCCAACAUCGCCGUUAAACAAAAGAGCUUGCAGUAAAUGAAACAAGUCCAAGGCCCUUGCACUGGACUGUGUUCAUAUCGAUUUUUGAGAGGAGACCCUUUUUAACUCUACAUUGCUGUAAUUUCACAAAUACUGUGGUUUUUUGUAGCUGGAUGGAGUGAUUGGGCAAAAACCUGGCACAUGGAGUUCAAAGUGGGGAAGUGGGAGGUCAAGAACUUUGAGAGUAAUCAAAAGGCAGAUUGCUACCUAAAUGGAGAGAGACUGCAAGUGAGUGAAGUUCAGAAGGAUUUGGGUGUUCUAGUGCAUGAGUUAUGAGAAGUUAGCAGGCAAGUCCAACAAAUAGUUAAAAGGGCCAAAUGUCACAGUGACCUUUAUUGGAAAAGGGUUGGAGUUUGCAGAAGAAGUUUUGUUAUAGCCAUACAGUGUGUUGAUGUGGCUAGUCUUGGAAAAAUGUGCACAGUUUUGAUCCCCUUGCGAUAUCGUAGCACGAGCAAAAAUCUAAAAGAAAUUCACCAGGCUAAUUCCAACAAUGAGGGGGCCAGCCUUUCUAGAGAGGCUGGACAGUUUGGGUCUCUAUUCCUUGGAGCUCAAAAGAAUGAGGCAUGACAUUCAAAUAUUUAAAAUCUUGAGGGGGCUUCAUUUAAAGCUGAGGUGGAUGAAAAGUCUUCCCUUCUCCUCCAAAGAUUGAGAAAUUGAGGGUUUUGGGGGACUGACAUAGAAAUGAAGUUGAGGUCAGUGUAGAUCAACCCCUAUCAUAUUGAAUAAUGGGCAGGCUUAAGUGACCUGGUAGCCUGCUCCUGUGAUGUCCUUGCAGUCAUGUCCCUGAGCCUGGGAUUCUUAUUCUACACAGGAUCCUUGCACAGAAGCAAAAGUAACUGUAGAUAUUGAAAAAACUAAGAACAGGAAA